CGUGCCAGCAGCCGCGGUAAUACGUAGGGUGCAAGCGUUAAUCGGAAUAUCUGGGCGUAAAGCGUGGCCAGGCGGUUCGCUAAGACAGAUGUGAAAUCCCCGGGCUUAACCUGGGAACUGCAUUUGUGACUGGCGGGCUAGAGUAUGGCAGAGGGGGGUAGAAUUCCGCGUGUAGCAGUGAAAUGAGUAGAGAUGUGGAGGAAUACCGAUGGCGAAGGCAGCCCCCUGGACCAAUACUGACGCUCAUGCACGAAAGCGUGGGGAGCAAACAGGAUUAGAUACCCUGGUAGUCCACGCCCUAAACGAUGUCAACUAGUUGUCGGGUCUUCAUUGACUUGGUAACGUAGCUAACGCG
rnacentral:rRNA from 1 species